AGGAGGAGCAAGCAGAAGAGAGUCGAUGCUGGGCCACCCGGAGUCUCAGCUUAUAAAUGCUCCCAGCUGCUGGGGCUCAGCCCCCAAAUCACCCCAUAUCUCCCUCCUGACCCUGAAGAGGAAACACUCGCUGCUUUAUGAUGUGGGCAGGGCCCGGAGGGACAGGGCCCUGCGGUUAUUCACCUUGGGGAAAUGCCAGGCGUCAGACAUUGCCCUUCCCUGCAAGGCCAGGGUCAGGACUCCUGGAGGGUCUGAGGAGCCUGCCCCCUCUCUGCCUGUGCCUCCCUCCAUUCACUCGUGUCCUGCCCUUCUGUCCUCCCAUCUUCCCUUCACUCAUUCACUCCCUCCUCAUCGAAUGUGGUGCACUGAGCACCUACUGUGUGGGGGGCCAGCCCUGAGCAGGCACAGAUGACUGAGACACACACUUCUCUAGUCUAGCCCAGGGACAAGGCACAGGCCUGCAGAGCAGGAUGUGAGGCAUCCUGAGCAAGGAGCAGGUGUGUGGCCUGGGGCGCGGGGAAGGAGUCCCAGUGUCCAGCCACAGGCUGGAGCACCUUUGGGGAGGAGGUGGCACUUGAUACAGGGCUUGACAGGCCAAUGGGAUUUGGAUGCAGAGAGAAAUUGCUAGAAGAUUAGAGGAGGCUGAACAAAGGGAGGUGAUAUUCUAGAAUGAGGGGACAGUGUGACAAAGGUGGGAAGGGCCACAAUGAAAGGAAACAAGGACUCUGCAGCAAAGAGCCCUGGAGGGGAACAGACAAUAAGGAUGCAGAUGAUGCAGCCAGAGGAGAGCAGCAGCCAGGGACCAGGGCAGAGAGGGAGGGGGAGUGCCAGGGUGCCCUGAGGACCUCUGGGUGCCAGGUGCUGGACCACGAGUUCCACGAAUUUCACUGUGUUCAAGCUUCACCGUGGGAAGGCGCUCUGGGCUCAGACCCCUGACUUGCAGUUCCUGUCCUGUCUUCCAGGUGGGGCCUCCAGAUCCUCAGUGGUAACUGUGCCCUGCCUGGCUGUGGCAUGUUCCCCGGAUCAAACGCAACAGGCAGGCGAAGUACAGGGCACCCGGCAAAGAUUCGUGGCCUUCCUCCUUACCAUCAAUUAAGGAAACCUCAGCAAGUCUCUCUCCUUUUCCUGGGUCUUCUCUCCGUGAACCCCUUCAUUUCUAUCCAAAGAAUCUGAAAUGUUCAUUGGAGUUGAUCCUUGAAAGUCAGGGCUUAGGGAACUUGGAGGGCAAUUGAUUCCAUCAUGAUUCUCCUAGUGCCACUCUCCAAGACCCCUCCUCUAGACUUGGGAUAUCCAACUGCCUACAUCACAGCUCCACCCCUAUCUCAUGUCACCUCAAACUUCAUUCACAUCCACGCCCCUGUCCUGCUGGCCUGGCACAGGCUGCCCCUCCUGUGGGCUUCUCCCUCCCAGUUGAUGGGGGAAAUGGUAGGAACCGAGAUCUAACAUGCAAGUGGAAUCCUGUUCCUGCAUCAUCACACUAUGCAGAUGAAGAAACGGUCUCAGGAAUACCACACCCAGCAGGCACAGGAGUGCAUGCCUGUGAUCCCAGAAACUCUAGAGGUUGUGGCACAGGGAUGGUGAGUUCCACAUAAGCCUCUACAACCUGGCGAGGCCCAAAGGACUUAGCAAAACCUUGUAUCAAAAUAAAACAAAAAAGGGCUAGG